UGUCGAGGAAAAGAAACUUAACAAGGAUUCCCCUUAGUUAACUGCGAGUGAAGCGGGAAAAGCUCAAAUUUAAAAUCUGGCAGUCUUUGGCUGUCCGAGUUGUAAUCUAGAGAAGUAUUAUCCGCGCUGGACCGUGUACAAGUCUCCUGGAAUGGAGCGUCAUAGAGGGUGAGAAUCCCGUCUUUGACACGGACUGCCAGGGCUUUGUGAUGUGCUCUCAAAGAGUCGAGUUGUUUGGGAAUGCAGCUCAAAAUGGGUGGUAAAUUCCAUCUAAAGCUAAAUAUUGGCGAGAGACCGAUAGCGAACAAGUACCGUGAGGGAAAGAUGAAAAGAACUUUGGAAAGAGAGUUAAACAGUACGUGAAAUUGCUGAAAGGGAAACGCUUGAAGUCAGUCGCGUUGGCCAGGGAUCAACCUUGCUUUUUUGCUUGGCUUACUUUCUGGUUGAUGGGUCAGCAUCAAUUUUGACUGGUGGAAAAAGUUCAAGGGAAUGUGGCAUCUUCUGAUGUGUUAUAGCCUUUGUUCGCAUACAUCGGUUGGGAUUGAGGAACUCAGCACGCCGCAAGGCCGGGUUUUUAACCACGUACGUGCUUAGGAUGCUGGCAUAAUGGCUUUAAUCGACCCGUCUUGAAACACGGACCAAGGAGUCUAACAUGCCUGCGAGUGUUUGGGUGAAAAACUCGAGCGCGUAAUGAAAGUGAAAGUUGAGAUCCCUGUCAUGGGGAGCAUUGACGCCCGGAUCUGACCUUUUGUGACGAUUCUGCGGUAGAGCAUGUAUGUUGGGACCCGAAAGAUGGUGAACUAUGCCUGAAUAGGGUGAAGCCAGAGGAAACUCUGGUGGAGGCUCGUAGCGAUUCUGACGUGCAAAUCGAUCGUCAAAUUUGGGUAUAGGGGCGAAAGACUAAUCGAACCAUCUAGUAGCUGUCUGC
rnacentral:rRNA from 1 species